GCAGCAGGCAGAUGUGGCAGAUACAAUAUUUAAAUUGACUGUCAGCGGAAGAAAAAUGUUGCCAAGCUCCUAUUUGAUUACAUAUUUCAUAAAACACAACCACAAACGGGUCCUCGAACGCAUCUCUGCCUCUCUCACCCCGAGCCGCAGAUGGAGCCGCCGCCCUUCCCGUCCGCGGAGGUUCGGCUCGCGGAGCAGGCCGACAGGAUGCAAGCGGAGGACCACGCCGCUCAGAGUUUUACAAGCUGUGUGCAUGGAAGCAGGUCGGCAGCGCUACAGCUUGCUGGGAACGCAUGAGAUGUAAAAUCACAAACAGCUGAAGAAACAAGCGUCACAAGUGGAGUUCAGUCAAGGACUUCGAUUCCAGCCGUUUGAAUCAGCCAUGAUCGAGAUCCAGUUCAAGUAUCUCUGUUAAUCUACAAGGAGUGAUGUGUUUUAUCCCUUAAUAAUCCCCCGAAACUUGCAAGACA